rnacentral:rRNA from 1 species
UACAGAGGCCUCGAGCGUUAGGCGGAAUCACUGGGCUUAAAGCGUGUGUAGGCGGACUUCUAAGUACCUUGUGAAAUCUCACGGCUUACCCGUGGAACGGCUGGGUAUACUGGUUGUCUUGAGCCACUUAGGGGCUACCGGAACAAAUGGUGGAGCGGUGAAAUGCGUAGAUAUCAUUUGGAACGCCAAUGGUGAAAACAGGUAGCUGGGAGUGUGCUGACGCUGAGACACGAAAGCCAGGGGAGCGAACGGG